rnacentral:lncRNA from 1 species
AUGACGUCUGCCCCGGAGCGGGGAGCGUCGCCUCUCUCUCUCAGGAAUGGGUUCAGGUGUGCGCCGGAAUCAGGCGCAACCAUAGAAGAUGUUCUCCUCGCCGUCGCGGACCAAAUCGGCCACGAAAACAUAAACUCGGCCUCUAGGAUGAACAAAGCUGUUGUAGUGUUUCUAAAAAACGAACACUUAGUAAAAACAAUGAUUGAAAACGGAAUUUGGGUUAAGGAAACGUACGUGCCCGUCACACCCUUAUCUGCCCCGGCUACAAAAGUCACGGUUUCAAAUGUACCGCCUUUCAUUUCCAGUGAUUCAAUUGUAAAGGAGUUGUCUAGAUUCGGGAAAAUUGCUGGAGGGGUGAAAAUGAUUCCGCUCGGAUGCAAGAACGCAUCGUUAAAACACGUGUUGUCUUUUAGGAGACAACUGUAUAUGUUUUUAACUUCGCCGGACAAAACACUCGAUGUCUCUUUCCGUGUGUCUCACGGAGACAGUUCAUACAUGCUGUACGCGAGCACAGACAGUUUACGCUGUUUUGAGUGCGGAGAUAUCGGCCACAAACGCUUCGUCUGUCCACAUAAACAACGCGCCGAGGAGAACCAGGGCCCGCGGACAGAUGAGCAACAAACUGUAGCGACGAAAGGCAGUGUACAGGCAGAGACGGUCAAAGUGAUCAACACUGAGGUAAGUGAAGCGGUUAAUGUUGUUAAUGAUAGUCAAAUGCCUAGUGUCAGUGCUGUAAGUGUUCAGCAGAGUACUGAUGGUGCUAAUGCUGAAGAGGCUUUGAGUAAGAGGUGUGUGGAGAGUAGUGAUGAUGAGGUGGAUGGACAGUCUGAAGUCACUGAAGGAAGCAUUAGAGAUGAUGAAUCCUGUUUUGAUGUGGAUAUGGAUAAGGCUUAUGAAGGAGAGUUGUAUACUGUUGAACAGAUUAACAACUUCUUGGAUGAAACCAAAGGCAAAAGUGUUGAACUUGCAGAGUUUUUCCCCGAUUUAAACAAGUUUGUUGAUUCAGUGAUAAAAAUUCGCAGUGAGUGCAGCAAUGAAGUUCUGUCCCAACAAAAGAGAUUUAGGUUAAAGAAACACAUAACGGCAAUUAGGCAAAGUUCAAAGAAAGUUCGAAAUAAGAGAAGUAAAUUAAAAUAA